rnacentral:rRNA from 1 species
GAUUGAACGCUGGCGGCAUGCUUUACACAUGCAAGUCGAACGGCAGCGGGGUAGUGCUUGCACUACUGCCGGCGAGUGGCGAACGGGUGAGUAAUAUAUCGGAACGUACCGAGUAAUGGGGGAUAACCAAUCGAAAGAUUGGCUAAUACCGCAUACGUCCUGAGGGAGAAAGCGGGGGAUCGCAAGACCUCGCGUUAUUCGAGCGGCCGAUAACUGAUUAGCUAGUUGGUGGGGUAAAGGCCUACCAAGGCGACGAUCAGUAGCGGGUCUGAGAGGACGAUCCGCCACACUGGGACUGAGACACGGCCCAGACUCCUACGGGAGGCAGCAGUGGGGAAUUUUGGACAAUGGGGGCAACCCUGAUCCAGCCAUGCCGCGUGUAUGAAGAAGGCCUUCGGGUUGUAAAGUACUUUUGUUAGGGAAGAAAAGGGAAGUGCUAAUACCACUUUUUGCUGACGGUACCUAAAGAAUAAGCACCGGCUAACUACGUG